rnacentral:ncRNA from 5 species
UGACUAGAUCCACACUCAUU